UUCACUUGAGAAAAUGCUUCCAUCAGAAUGCCUGUAGGCAAGCCUACAGGGCAUUUUCUUGACUGAUGAUUGACGUGGGAGGACCCAGCUCAUUCUUUGUGGUCCUGCCUGGGCAGGUGGUCCCGAGGUGUCUAAGAAAGCAAACCCAGAAAUCCAGGGGGAACAAGCCCGUCAGCAGCAUUCCACCAUGGCUGCUGCUUCAGUUCCUGCCUCCAGAUUCCUGUCUUGAGUUCCUGUCCUGACUUCCUUCUAUACCGGACUGUGAUGUGGAAGUGUCAGCCAAAUAAAUCCUUUCUCCCCCAAGCUGCUUUUGGUUUUUAUCACAUGCAAUAGGAAGCAACUAAUACAGCAGAGAGUUCACAUGGUCAUGGUGCCUCUUCACAGUGAUAGAACAUUGACUAAGAUGCCUCAGGAACAAGAUAAACAGGGAGGCCCUGCACUUUGUCAACCACAAUAGAUGGAGAAGGUAUAAAUGGAAUGCCAACACACCCACGCUACAACAGAUGUUAGAAAAUUUGUUAGCUUCACAGGAGAUGCUACCAUAUGGAAGAGUGAAGAGCAUCAAAACGACAUGAUGCAGAUGAGCAUAGCAAGUAGGAACCUGUAUGCUGAAGAUGAAGGAGCCACAAGAUGGAAGGAUCCUGGGCCUCUGUCACUGCUUGAAAGAAAGCUGUCCUGCUCAUUAGGGGUACC